rnacentral:rRNA from 1 species
GACAGAGGGUGCAAACGUUGUUCGGAAUUACUGGGCGUAAAGCGCGUGUAGGCGGCCCGGAAAGUCGGAUGUGAAAGCCCUGGGCUUAAACCUAGGAAGUGCAUUCGAAACUGCUGGGCUUGAGUUCUGGAGAGGAAGGCGGAAUUCUCGGUGUAGAGGUGAAAUUCGUAGAUAUCGAGAGGAACACCGGUGGCGAAGGCGGCCUUCUGGACAGUGACGUGACGCUGAGACGGCGAAAGCGUGGGGAGCAAACAGGGAUUAAGAA